rnacentral:rRNA from 1 species
AAGUCGUACAAGGUUUCCGUAAGGUGAACCUGCGGAAGGAUCAUUAUCGAGAGGGGCGUCAGCCUCGGGGGGCUUCGG